CUUCCAAUUAAAAGUGUUUAAAUUUACUUUGAUUUAAAACAGUCUACCAAAAAAAAAUUAAUAUUUCAUUAAAAUAAAGACUUAUCUUAAUAAAGAUCUGGGUAAAUAAUUUUAUAGUCCCGUGCAAUGCACUGAGUCAUGGUUACUAAUUUUAAUAAAAAUCAAAUAUUUAAAGAAACAACUGCUUGAAUGAAAUAUUAAUUCAAAAUGAAAAUAAUAGAAAUAAAAUAUAAUUGCCAAAAACCUUAAAAGUAACAAUAAAUUAGUAAUAAAAAAAAAAAGAAAAA
rnacentral:lncRNA from 1 species